rnacentral:lncRNA from 1 species
GGCCUUUUGUCCCUCCUUAGAAGCAGCAGCUGCCUAUCCACGGAAGAAGAGAGGGCCCCUUCCCUGGUAUCCUAACGCUUUGUUUCAGAGUCGAAAUGAUCCAGGAUGGAGAUUGGGAACUGGAUUCACUCCAGGGUAAAAAGACUCCAGCUGCACGGUUGCCUUGGGAAGCCAGGAAAUGGGCCUGUAGGGCAUCUCUAUGAGCAGAAAGAGGACUGAGAAACCAUUCCAGAAGGAUUCCUGUCAGUGCCAGAGAGAUGUGAGAUGAAGACCUGAUCUGACUGACAGAUUAAAUGACUUUGAUACAUAUAAUAUUCAGAUAAAACAAUCACACAUAAUUGGAAAUAUCUGUUCUAAUCAAAAGUCUUUGAGAGCAAAUUAAUCUUCCCG